CUGAGAGGAUGACCAGCCACACUGGAACUGAGACACGGUCCAGACUCCUACGGGAGGCAGCAGUGGGGAAUAUUGCACAAUGGGCGCAAGCCUGAUGCAGCCAUGCCGCGUGUAUGAAGAAGGCCUUCGGGUUGUAAAGUACUUUCAGCGGGGAGGAAGGUGUUGUGGUUAAUAACCGCAGCAAUUGACGUUACCCGCAGAAGAAGCACCGGCUAACUCCGUGCCAGCAGCCGCGGUAAUACGGAGGGUGCAAGCGUUAAUCGGAAUUACUGGG
rnacentral:rRNA from 1 species